ACGGGUGAGUAACGCGUGGGUAACCUGCCCUGUACACACGGAUAACAUACCGAAAAGGUAUGCUAAUACGGGAUAAUGUACUUUUGUCGCAUGGCAAAAGUAUCAAAGCUCCGGCGGUACAGGAUGGACCCGCGUCUGAUUAGCUAGUUGGAGAGGUAAUGGCUCACCAAGGCAACGAUCAGUAGCCGACCUAAGAGGGUGAUCGGCCACAUUGGAACUGAGACACGGUCCAAACUCCUACGGGAGGCAGCAGUGGGGAAUAUUGCACAAUGGCGAAAGCCUGAUGCAGCAACGCCGCGUGAGCGAUGAAGGCCUUCGGGUCGUAAAGCUCUGUCCUCAAGGAAGAUAAUGACGGUACUUGAGGAGGAAGCCCCGGCUAACUACGUGCCAGCAGCCGCGGUAAUACGUAGGGGGCUAGCGUUAUCCGGAAUUACUGGGCGUAAAGGGUGCGUAGGUGGUUUUUUAAGUCAGAAGUGAAAGGCUACGGCUUAACCGUAGUAAGCUUUUGAAACUAAAGAACUUGAGUGCAGGAGAGGAGAGUAGAAUUCCUAGUGUAGCGGUGAAAUGCGUAGAUAUUAGGAGGAAUACCAGUAGCGAAGGCGGCUCUCUGGACUGUAACUGACACUGAGGCACGAAAGCGUGGGGAGCAAACAGGAUUAGAUACCCUGGUAGUCCACGCCGUAAACGAUGAGUACUAGGUGUCGGGGGUUACCCCCCUCGGUGCCGCAGCUAACGCCUUAAGUACUCCGCCUGGGAAGUACGCUCGCAAGAGUGAAACUCAAAGGA
rnacentral:rRNA from 1 species